rnacentral:lncRNA from 1 species
AAAAAAUACUGGGCAGAUAAAGUUGCCUGUGGGAUGGUAGAUAUUUUUGGACUUCUCAGCAAGAUUCCUGGAACCAUUUUGUUUUCAGCAUGGCCGGGCUUGACCUCCUCUUGCAGUCCUUGGAAAAAUAAAUACCAACAGGUGGACUGGCCUACACCUAGCAAGGGAGAGAGAAGGAUGAGACCAAGAGACACCUCUCCAGCUGGAGCCCAGCAAAUCCACCAAACUGGUCCAGCUAUCAUCUGUUCUCAUUUAGGUCUUCUUCAAAACACAGGAUAGACGAAACAAGGCUUUUUUUUGUAUCUUUAAAAACAUCUUUACAGCUGCAAGUAGUUUCUUUCACCUUUCUUCUCCCCUCCAAGCUGCCUUUGGUGGUCGUUUUAGCCUGAGUUUACCUGCAUAAAAGCACCCCUGGGGAGGAGUACGAUUUGUCCUCAUCCUGUACCACUAGGAAUGGAUGGCCUUGCAUGUGGGGUCAGGGUGGCCUGUGUCCAAGGUGUUUUGCUUCUGCAAUAUUAAUGAAGUCAGCCUCCUCCAAGAAUGUCCUCAAAUCCCCUGAAGGUUCUUAGAUGUUGCAGUUUGCAUUUCGCUAUUUACAUUAGCAAAAACUGUUGUACAAACAGGCCUGUCAGUCAGGGCUCGCCUGGCUUCACUUCAGAGAAGGAAUCAGAAGUGUGAGUUAAAUGAGCCCAGCAGGCAUUUAACCUCUGGGUCUGGAAAAAUCCUGACUCAUGGAGUGAUCUGGGAGGUGGGAAGGCAGCCCCAUUUGGUGAAGAAGCUUAAAGCAUCCCAAACCAAGGCUAGAACAAAUGAUGAUGGUCACAGCUACCAUAGGAUAGUCACUCUGUGCCAGCCACUGUGCUGGUAAUCCUCAAAGCCAUUUGUUGUGUUAGAGAGGUUUUAUUCUUAGUUUACACCCAUGGAAACUGAGCUGCAGAGAAAUGAUCUUGACCAAGGUCCGAGCACGAUAAGUGGUGGUACAGGAGUGAAUGCUUGCCGUCUGUCUUCUGAUCUUGUGCUUUUAACCAUAAUCC